UACGUAGGGGCUAGCGUUAUCCGGAAUUACUGGGCGUAAAGGGUGCGUAGGUGGUUUCUUAAGUCAGAGGUGAAAGGCUACGGCUCAACCGUAGUAAGCCUUUGAAACUGGGAAACUUGAGUGCAGGAGAGGAGAGUGGAAUUCCUAGUGUAGCGGUGAAAUGCGUAGAUAUUAGGAGGAACACCAGUGGCGAAGGCGGCCAACUGGGCUUUUACUGACGCUGAGGCUCGAAAGCGUGGGGAGCAAACAGAAUUAGAUACCCGCGUAGUCCCUGAGCGGGCU
rnacentral:rRNA from 1 species